GGGGUGGCGGGCGGCUGCCAAGUGUGGGCCCGGAAACUCGAGCGGGAAGGCGCCGUAGGAAAGCUGCCUCCGCUUUGGGAGAUGAGCUGCCCUGGUUGCUCAGCAGUUUGCGGAUGGCCAACCUUCAAUGUUCAGAAAUCCAGUAAGUGAGUGUUCAUACACUGAACCAGAAAAGCAUCUUCUGGUGAUCCCUGGCUGACACACUGCCUCUGAAACAGAAGAUUGCAUUCCUGUUCUCUCUUGCGACAAACAGGCUUAUGAUCGGAAAGGGGCCAGGGAAAGGAAAAUUGCUGGCUUCAGAGACUGGAUGACACAGCUACAGCUUCGAAGAACACAAACUCCACCUAGUGGUAAUCCUGAAGGUGAAAUUUUAGAAAACUAGGAAUUCUAAGGCACAUUCUUAGUUGCAUGACAGAGGCUUGCAAAAUCUAGGAAUAAAGAUUUAAAUUGAUAUAGUUAUCUUUGGGAAAGUAAGAUAAAUUAUAGAAGAAUAUACUAAAAAUGUUUCUACCAGGGAACCUUUUGCUAUCAUUCAGCUGAUGAAAGCCUCUUAAUAAAAAAAAAUACAUUUUUAUCAUAUGAAUUGUGAACUCAUUAAAAAAAUAUUUUAACAGUACACAAGAACAUG